AUUGAACGCUGGCGGCAUGCCUAACACAUGCAAGUCGAACGGCAGCACGGCAGUAGCAAUACUGUGGGUGGCGAGUGGCGGACGGGUGAGGAAUACGUCGGAAUCUGCCCAAUCGUGGGGGAUAACUAACCGAAAGGUUAGCUAAUACCGCAUACGACCGAGAGGUGAAAGCGGGGGACCGCAAGGCCUCGCGCGAUUGGAUGAGCCGACGUCGGAUUAGCUUGUUGGUGGGGUAAAGGCCUACCAAGGCAACGAUCCGUAGCUGGUCUGAGAGGAUGAUCAGCCACACUGGAACUGAGACACGGUCCAGACUCCUACGGGAGGCAGCAGUGGGGAA
rnacentral:rRNA from 1 species